AACGAACGCUGGCGGCAUGCCUAACACAUGCAAGUCGAACGAGACCUUCGGGUCUAGUGGCGCACGGGUGCGUAACGCGUGGGAACCUGCCCUUAGGUUCGGAAUAACUCCCCGAAAGGGGUGCUAAUACCGGAUAAUGUCUUCGGACCAAAGAUUUAUCGCCUUUGGAUGGGCCCGCGUUGGGUUAGCUAGUUGGUAGGGUAAAAGCCUACCAAGGCGACGAUCCAUAGCUGGUCUGAGAGGAUGAUCAGCCACACUGGGACUGAGACACGGCCCAGACGCGGAAGGGAGGCCGCAGCCGGGACUCUUGGGGAAGGGGGGAGAGGGUGAUAUAGAAAAAGGGCGGAGGGGAAGACCGAGCUAGGGCGGGUAAGUAAUGUGGUCUGGAGGGUAAAAAAGCUUUUUAACACGGAGGGGUAAUGACGGUACCGAAAGAAUAAGCCCGGGCUAACUCCGUG
rnacentral:rRNA from 1 species